AAAUCUAUUUCAAUAGAGCAUAUAAUGUUGAUGGCCUGAUGUAGAGCACUCAAUGGGCUAGGGUGGCCCCCCAAAACCCUUGACCAAGCCAAGGGAAAUUCCGAAGACAGACCGAGAUCGUUUGUACAGACAAAGUCUUUGGAUGCUAAGAUCCAAAGUCGAGAGGGAAACAGCCCAGAUCGUACACUAAGGUCCCUUAGCAAUCACCUAGUGGAAAAGGAAGUGAUCGAGCGAUACAAUUAGGAGAUGGGCUUGGAAGCAGCCAUCUUCUGAAGAAAGCAUAAUAGCUCACCGGUCUAGCUCCAUGGCACCGAAAAUGUAUCAGGGCUCAAGUGAUUCACCAAAGCGACGGGACCUUGAAAGCAUUUUCAAGUGUCAGUA
rnacentral:ncRNA from 1 species